UGGUGGAGUGAUUUGUCUGCUUAAUUGCGAUAACGAACGAGACCUUAACCUGCUAAAUAGCCAGGCUAGCUUAGGCUGGUCGCCGGCUUCUUAGAGGGACUAUCGGCUCAAGCCGAUGGAAGUUUGAGGCAAUAACA
rnacentral:rRNA from 1 species